rnacentral:lncRNA from 1 species
GAAAAACGACUUUGGAACGGGUCCAAAUGCUGUGUCCAAAUGUUGGUUAGUAGUCUUAUUUGUCGUGCAAACCAAAUUCAAUUUCUGACAAUGGUAUUCUAUUUUUUGUGAGCUAGUCUUAAGCUCACCCUCUUAAUUAGCUUGAGAGAAAUGGAGGUUUGAGUUCUAGUAAUGAUGUCCACGUUGUAUUUCUCCAGGAAAAAAAGAGUCAAAUUGUCCUACAAUUGCCAUCACAUUUUAGGAAAUAUAAUGAGUUAAUUAAUCAUUAUUAUUUAAAUGUUUGGCGUUUACAUGUGUUGUGGUUCAAAUUUGGCCCGAGGGUGACCAUGCCGGAGGAGUCGGGAGGGCUGCCAGGGGAGCUGCAGGUCAUAAAAGCGAAGAGAUCUGGCUGAGGUCGGUUUGGUCGGCAUUGAGGUCUGCUUGGCCGGAACAGGGUGGUCUCUUGUCCUGAGCAGGAUGAUCCAUUCUGUCCCUUAUCAACAUGUAUAAUGCCUGAGUUGGAUGUUCCUCCCAUCUCAUCCAUGUAUAGUUAAAAUUAAAGAUAAUUCACAAGAAUAUUAAUUUCUCAA